AGUAGUUGUUGGAAAUUGGCCGUUGGGAUGCAGUCUGAGCUUGGAUACCUGAGUAAUAACGGACAACAGAUAAAGCUCCGCAUCCUUGCGCCACGUGCUUCGAUCAGCUGGAUACUCUUGUUACCAGAAUUCCAAAGGUUCUGACAGAAUCAAAGAUGGAUACAAAGUGAACUCACACAUAGCUAAGCUGCAAGAGUUAUGGAAAACUCCCCAAAAUCAAACAAUCCACCUCCCUAAAUCAAUGAUGGAUGCGUCCUUUUUCAAGCAUCCAGACCUCACCACAGGCCAGAAGCAUUACCUGUGCAGCAUUGCUAAAAUCUAUAAUGCAAACUAUCUGAAGAUGUUAAUGAAGAGGCAGUACAUGCACGUACUUCAGCACAGCUUACAAAAGCCAGGUGUCCUCACUCAUCACAGAAGCCGCCUUAGUUCUCGUUACUCACAGAAACAGCAUUACCCUUGCACUACAUGGCGACACCAACUGGAGAGAGAGGACUCGGGGCCUUCUGAUAUCACAGCUGCACCUGCACCUGAAAUGCUCAUACAGCAUUCCCUUUGGCGGCCAGUGAGAAACAAAGAAGGGUCUGUUUCUUAGUGUAAAAAGGGGGAAAUGCAUCUCAGUUUAAUUUUUUUUUUUUCUCAGACAGGGUCUUGUUCUCUCACCCAGGCUGGAGUGUAGUGGUGUGAUAUAGUUUACAGUAUUCUAACUCCUGGGCUUAAGCAAUGCUUCUGCCUCAGACUCCCAAGUAGCUAGGGCUAAAGGCACAAACCACCAUGCCCUGCUAAUUAAAAAAAAUUUUUUGUGGAGAAAGCAUCUCACUAUGUUGGCCAAGGUACUCUCACCUCCGCCUCCCAAAGCACUGGGAUUACAGGCGUGAGCUACUGUGCCCAGCCUUCCCCAUCUCUUUUGAAGGGUAGCUAAGUGAUAUUAAUGCUUGUGUUCCCUAAUAUGUUCACUUUGCUAAAUUCAGAAUAGGCUGGACUUUUAAAAAGCAGAGAGAGAUACUUUUUUUUUUUUUUGAGACCAAGUUUCGCUCUUGUUGCCCAGGCUAAAGUGCAGCGGCGCAAUCUUGGCUCACCGCAACCUCCACUUCCCGGGUUCAAGCGAUUCUCCUGCCUCAGCCUUCCUGAGUAGCUGAGAUUACGGGCAUGCGCCACCAUGCCCAG
rnacentral:sRNA from 1 species